GUUACUGACAGGUAGGAGGACAGAGUCUAAUGGCUACUGACAGGUAGGAGGACAGAGUCUAAUGGUUACUGACAGGUAGGAGGACAGAGUCUAAUGGUUACUGACAGGUAGGAGGACAGAGUCUAAUGGCUACUGACAGGUAGGAGGACAGAGUCUAAUGGUUACUGACAGGUAGGAGGACAGAGUCUAAUGGUUACUGACAGGUAGGAGGACAGACUAACGGUUACUGACAGGUAGGAGGACAGAGUCUAAUGGUUACUGACAGGUAGGAGGACAGAGUCUAAUGGUUACUGACAGGUAGGAGGACAGAGUCUAAUGGUUACUGACAGGUAGGAGGACAGAGUCUAAUGGUUACUGACAGGUAGGAGCACAGAGGGGAAACAGUUCCUAAUGGUUACUGACAGGUAGGUGGACAGAGGGGAAACAGUUACUAAUGGAAACGGUUACUAAUGGUUACUGACAGGUAGGUGGACAGAGGGGAAACAGUUACUAAUGGUUACUGACAGGUAGGUGGACAGAGGGGAAACGGUUACUAAUGGUUACUGACAGGUAGGUGGACAGAGGGGAAACAGUUACUCAUGGUUACUGACAGGUAGGUGGACAGAGGGGAAACAGUUACUAAUGGUUACUGACAGGUAGGUGGACAGAGGGGAAACGGUUACUAAUGGUUACUGACAGGUAGGUGGACAGAGGGGAAACAGUUACUAAUGGUUACUGACAGGUAGGUGGACAGUGGGGAAACAGUUACUAAUGGUUACUGACAGGUAGGUGGACAGUGGGGAAACAGUUACUCAUGGUUACUGACAGGUAGGUGGACAGAGGGGAAACAGUUACUAAUGGUUACUGACAGGUAGGUGGACAGUGGGGAAACAGUUACUCAUGGUUACUGACAGGUAGGUGGACAGAGGGGAAACAGUUACUAAUGGUUACUGACAGGUAGGUGGACAGAGGGGAAACGGUUACUAAUGGUUACUGACAGGUAGGUGGACAGAGGGGAAACAGUUACUAAUGGUUACUGACAGGUAGGUGGACAGAGGGGAAACAGUUACUAAUGGUUACUGACAGGUAGGUGGACAGUGGGGAAACAGUUACUAAUGGUUACUGACAGGUAGGUGGACAGAGGGGAAACGGUUACUAAUGGUUACUGACAGGUAGGUGGACAGUGGGGAAACAGUUACUAAUGGUUACUGACAGGUAGGUGGACAGAGGGGAAACGGUUACUAAUGGUUACUGACAGGUAGGUGGACAGUGGGGAAACAGUUACUCAUGGUUACUGACAGGUAGGUGGACAGAGGGGAAACAGUUACUAAUGGUUACUGACAGGUAGGUGGACAGAGGGGAAACGGUUACUAAUGGUUACUGACAGGUAGG